rnacentral:rRNA from 1 species
CCUACGUGAGGCAGCAGUGAGGAAUAUUGGUCAAUGGACGGAAGUCUGAACCAGCCAUGCCGCGUGCAGGAAGACGGCUCUCUGAGUUGUAAACUGCUUUUGUACGAGGGUAAACCUGACUACGUGUAUUCAGCUGAAAGUACUGUACGACUAAGGAUCGGCUAACUCCGUGCCAGCAGCCGCGGUAAUACGGGGGAUCCAAGCGUUAUCCGGAUUUAUUGGGUUUAAAGGGGGCGUAGGCGGAUUGCUAAGUCAGUGGUCAAAUUGCGGGGCUCAACCCCUACCCGCCAUUGAAACUGGCGUUCUUGAGUGGAAGAGAAGUAUGCGGAAUGCGUGGUGUAGCGGUGAAAUGCAUAGAUAUCACGCAGAACCCCGAUUGCGAAGGCAGCAUGCCGGCUUCCGACUGACGCUGGAGCACGAAAGCGUGGGGAUCGAACAGGAUUAGAUACCCUUGUAGUC